UAAUGGAGAAGAGACUCUAAAUUUCUUCUUGGACUGUACUGACCUUGAAUGGAAUGCAAAAUUACCAGUCAUAAGUCUGUAUUUUGUGGAAUAAGUGUAUCCACUGUGUACACUUCAUCUGUUAAGUUCCAUUUGUGUAAUUUCUUUUGGUGAUCUCAUUUGCUUUAAUUCAUAUACUAUUAUUUGUAAUUCUGCUGUGUUGAGGAAAAAGGUGAAUACUCUUUCAGAGGAACACAAAUGUUAGGAAUACGUAAUUACGUCAUCAUAAUGUGAACAUAGUUGUCUUCAAGCGAGCACUUCUAAAAGCAGAAAGACAAGAUUCCAGAUUCUUGGGCCUCUCUAGAUCAAAUCAACAGCAAAUGAUACAGAACAGAGCUUAAAAAAAUAAUUUAUCAGGAAACAAAACAAGGGAGGAAUCAUUUUCACAGAAAGAAGCUAUUCAAGUCUAAGAUGGAAAGACAUGUGAAUGGUAGAAAGGAAAAAAACUGUUUGAGACCAUCAUUCCUCAUACCAGAAUAAAACCUUCCUCGCGUUUGAAUUUUCCCCAUAUGAGGACAGCUUCAUACAUAGGAAAUCUCAGAAGGUACAAGAAAGAACUGACGACAGCAAAGGAAAUUAAAGUGCAGACACUGCUGAGAGUCAAAUUUUUCAGAGGACAACCAACUGGUUAAAGCCCAGGAGAGAGAGAGUUUCUUGAACACAAUCUAGAAGCGAAAGGAGAUGCCUUUCAAGCAGGAAGACCCAAAAUCAAUUUAUUGCAGCAGAUGGUUCAAACAGUGGAGCUGAAGAGUAGUUGGAUCAGCUGUAGCAGUUAUUUCAUGUGACAGCACCAGCAAACGGUGGUAGGUAACCUCAUUAUCAAAUAAACUUCAGUAGCAGUUAGAAUAAAUGUUAAAG
rnacentral:lncRNA from 1 species